rnacentral:rRNA from 1 species
GGGCGGGUGCUAUAAUGCAGUCGAGCGAACAGAUGAGAAGCUUGCUUCUCUGAUGUUAGCGGCGGACGGGUGAGUAACACGUGGGUAACCUACCUAUAAGACUGGGAUAACUCCGGGAAACCGGGGCUAAUACCGGAUAAUAUUUUGAACCGCAUGGUUCAAUAGUGAAAGACGGUUUCGGCUGUCACUUAUAGAUGGACCCGCGCCGUAUUAGCUAGUUGGUAAGGUAACGGCUUACCAAGGCGACGAUACGUAGCCGACCUGAGAGGGUGAUCGGCCACACUGGAACUGAGACACGGUCCAGACUCCUACGGGAGGCAGCAGUAGGGAAUCUUCCGCAAUGGGCGAAAGCCUGACGGAGCAACGCCGCGUGAGUGAUGAAGGUCUUCGGAUCGUAAAACUCUGUUGUUAGGGAAGAACAAAUUUGUUAGUAACUGAACAAGUCUUGACGGUACCUAACCAGAAAGCCACGGCUAACUACGUGCCAGCAGCCGCGGUAAUACGUAGGUGGCAAGCGUUAUCCGGAAUUAUUGGGCGUAAAGCGCGCGUAGGCGGUUUCUUAAGUCUGAUGUGAAAGCCCACGGCUCAACCGUGGAGGGUCAUUGGAAACUGGGAAACUUGAGUGCAGAAGAGGAGAGUGGAAUUCCAUGUGUAGCGGUGAAAUGCGCAGAGAUAUGGAGGAACACCAGUGGCGAAGGCGGCUCUCUGGUCUGUAACUGACGCUGAUGUGCGAAAGCGUGGGGAUCAAACAGGAUUAGAUACCCUGGUAGUCCACGCCGUAAACGAUGAGUGCUAAGUGUUAGGGGGUUUCCGCCCCUUAGUGCUGCAGCUAACGCAUUAAGCACUCCGCCUGGGGAGUACGACCGCAAGGUUGAAACUCAAAGGAAUUGACGGGGACCCGCACAAGCGGUGGAGCAUGUGGUUUAAUUCGAAGCAACGCGAAGAACCUUACCAAAUCUUGACAUCCUUUGACCGCUCUAGAGAUAGAGUCUUCCCCUUCGGGGGACAAAGUGACAGGUGGUGCAUGGUUGUCGUCAGCUCGUGUCGUGAGAUGUUGGGUUAAGUCCCGCAACGAGCGCAACCCUUAAGCUUAGUUGCCAUCAUUAAGUUGGGCACUCUAGGUUGACUGCCGGUGACAAACCGGAGGAAGGUGGGGAUGACGUCAAAUCAUCAUGCCCCUUAUGAUUUGGGCUACACACGUGCUACAAUGGAUAAUACAAAGGGCAGCGAAUCCGCGAGGCCAAGCAAAUCCCAUAAAAUUAUUCUCAGUUCGGAUUGUAGUCUGCAACUCGACUACAUGAAGCUGGAAUCGCUAGUAAUCGUAGAUCAGCAUGCUACGGUGAAUACGUUCCCGGGUCUUGUACACACCGCCCGUCACACCACGAGAGUUUGUAACACCCGAAGCCGGUGGAGUAACCUUUUAGGAGCUAGCCGUCGAUAGU